UGACCAUUCAGAUUCUUUGACGAUUAUAUGUGAUCAUUCUUAGCUUAUAAAUACAUGGCGCUUCACAUUCUUUUUAAUAUCUUUAUUGUUGCUUUGUAGGUGUUUGCUAAUUUGAGAUCAUUGGAAACUGGAUUCAAGAAUUAAAAUUUGUUUGUGGCGUAGAAGAUCUGCCUAAUUUUACAUUGACUUUAUAUAUAGCUUUUGUUCUCUCAAGGAGUAUAUUGUUUAUUUUGUCCUAUUUCACACCUUUUAAUAUGUUGGAGAGAGCACAUUUGUAAUUCUUCUAAUUAAAAUUCUUUCUGCUUUCUUUUGCUAGGGGUGUUUUACACGGAUUGAAAUUGGAGCUUUGGAACGCCUGAAAUUAUAGAUCAACUUCAAUCUAGUGCAAGAUGGGGAAUUUUAGUCGUGACAGCAAGCAGAGGCGAAUCCAGAAUUUCAAGAGGAUAAGUUCACUAUUAGCUAUAGGUUUUUUUUUUUUUUUUUUAAAUUUCUUUUGCCUUUGGUUCGUUAUAGCUUAGUGCUUAUGGGGUUUUUUGAUUUCUUUUGCCUUUUGGGAUUUGGGUAAUUAAAAAUAAAGGAAAAAAAUUUCAUUAGAGGUGAUAUAAAAUAGAAACACGAUUUUCACUUUCGGGUAAUUAGAAUUAUAGAAGAAAAAUGAUUUAGAAUAAUAUAAAAAGGAAAGUUAAAAGGCUGCUUUAAUUAAAUCACAGAACGUGCAGGAGCUUCGAUCCCGAGACCUUGAGGAAAUAAACACAACCGUUAGCCAGUGCUCCACUCGACUUGGUUUGAUCAUGUGCUCCUUCAGCUCCAUGGGCAAGGAUGGCGCUAUAGAUGUCCGAAGAGGAUUGUCGUCAAGGUCACAAGCUAAGGAGAUGCAAUCAAGGUUGCUGGGCUUUAAUUGGAAAUCAAGAAGAUGCUUAUCGCGGAAGAAAAACCCAAGAACGAGUCUAAGAAUUAUGGAGACGAAUGGGCUAGAUGCUACACAUAUUUUAUGAUCUAAGUCCAGGCUCAAGAGGAGGAAGAUUGGGGCCCACAUGGAGCCCAAAAGAGCUUAAAUUCAAGCCCACAUGGGGCUAAAAUUUUUGCCAAAAAAAAAGAGCUUAAAUCCACCCCAAAUUGGAUAGGAGAAAGUCACGUACAAGGUGGCUUUUAGGAAACCUUUUCCUUAUUCUAUUAGGGAAGAAGUUUGCCAAUUAUUUUACAUGCUUUCCUAGUUUAAUCCUAAUUAGGUUUUAGUAUUUAAUUAUUUUCAUAAAAGUGGAUUCUAAUCCAAUUCUAUUUGGGAUAAGUUUCCCCUAUAUAUAGGGGUGGAUUUUGUUAUUUUCAUUAGACAAAUAUUAUUAUUAUUGAGAGUUUCUCUACUUUACAGCUUUGUAUGUGGCUACUUUGGAUUUAUCUUGCAACAUUAUAAGAACGAUUCUUUUAAGAGGUAA